UCCAACCCAAGUAUGUUAAGCUAUUUCUUAGGAAUAAAGUACCAAAAAAUAAAUCAAUAAUCAUAAUUAGUGUAAGAAAUGUCUCUUGCUAACAGUUUUUGUGUGUGUUUCUUAUUGAAACGUGUUUAAUUGUGACUGGCUUGAGUUUGGGAAAAAAAAACCCAUGAAAGACUUGCAAACAAAUAAAAACACUCAUAUCUCUCUCUCGUUCUCUUGUCGAAACAACGAUCACUCUCUCGAUAUCUCUCUCACUCUCUUCUCGUCGCCGAUGGGCAAACUAAAGAACACAGAAUCGAGAAACAGAUAGUUUCUGUUCUACACCAACAAGCCGAGAGCAACACCCACAAGCCGAGAUCACCAACAACACCAACUCUAUGCAUUGGACAUGCUCUUAG